UGUUAAAGUGAGGAGUUGCUAUUUCUAAGAGUCCUCACUUGAAAGUCACUCUGCAGACAGGUUUGUGACCACACAGCUUUGUGCAUGUCCGGAGGGGCAGGCAGAUGUAUACCUGCGUGGGGAAAAUGGAAAACAGUUUUAUUUCUUAUUAAUGCCAUCAAGUUUUCUCAGUCCCCAAGCUUGUUAUAGAGACAGUAAAACCAGGAAGGACUAUGGGAAAAUAAUGUUUUCUUAAAGGAGAGAUGGGAAUAGGAGAGGCUGGAGGUGAGGUACAGUGCUGGGGGAGGGAGGCAGCCCUUGUGGGGCCUGGUGAGUCACACAUCCUCCAGCAGAGAAGCACUGACUCACUGGAAAGAACAUCACUCUGCUGCUCCCUUUCUGCUAAGACUGAGGAACAGUGAAUUGAUAAUCAACUUUAUUGUGCAGGCUCUCCAGUUAGAGAGUGAGAUCUAAGAGGGUAGAACUGGAGACCGUGGAAAGAAGCGAGAGACAAAGCUCAGGCAUGCUGUCCAGCUCCAGCAACUUAACGAGUUCCUGUACCUCAGCUGAGGCAUGGUAGUAACUGCAGUGUGCCUUUCUCUAGCCUGCAGACGUGAGGCUCAGUGUGUCAGCUUAACCUCAGGGGCAACAAAAAGAGAAGUUGAAACUGGUUUCUUCCAUCUGAGAUGGCCACAGGCGAAGAGCAAACACACAUGGACAAUUACCGUGGCUCAGAUGAUGCACGGAUUUGCUAAACUGAAGCUAAAGAUGGAAGAGUUCCAAACCUACGAGGAGCCUGGACCCUCUCAAACUAUGACUGGGGCCAAGGAAACAACAUACCAGACAUCAAAACUUUGGAUGCUUUUUUUCUUUUUAUUUAGUAACAGAAACUCAAGUUCAUCCUUCUCUGCUUCCACAUAAUACAAGGAAAUACAUUUGAUUAAAUUAUGUGCGAUGCUUUUUAAGGCAGAUGGAUUCAACACAUGGCUGCAGGACCAGGCUUUAUUAUCUCGACUAACGUGGACACAUUUUGAACACUGCUUCUCACUCUGCCAUCAGCCGCCACCACCUCUGCAGUACUGUGACAGCAAGAGAAAAAGGACAGGAAAGUGAUAAAGUUUGUACACGUAAGCAGAAAAGAACUUUCUGUCCAAAGCCAGCUGGCUUGGCUUGGCACUGAAGUGGCAUUUUAGCAGAAGAUGACACGUUUAUGCGUGUACUGGAGCUGUGUUUCAAAACACUUGCCCUAGAUGCCACAGGAAGGGUCUGUGAAAUAGUUUAUCACCAAGUAACCAGAGAAAGCAGGUAAGCUGUCUUCUAAAUUGGCAAACAAAUGAAACCAUACUAUGAAAUCACAGCAAAUAUGCUGCUGCUUUUAAUAAUUAGAAUUGAGUGUAUUUUCAGUGAAGUUUUGGGAGAUGUAAUAAUUCUGUAUCACAACCAAGAGGACAAUACGUCCAUUAAUAAAUGCCUGAUGCUGUUUGCUCUGAUACA
rnacentral:lncRNA from 1 species